rnacentral:misc_RNA from 1 species
CGCUGCCUUCCCCUCUCGAACCGCACACUAGCGCAAGCAGCACGUCAGCACGCGGCGGCAGCAGACACGAGCCCUGCCUGGCUCACGCUUGACGUGUUUUCACUUACACUUUCUCCACCAUCUUUUUGUCCCCUUUUCUGUGAGUAACAUAUGCUUCCAGGAUCUGUACGUACGCCUGUACAACUUGUGAUUUAAACCGCUUCUGUUAUCCGGGUGCUGUUUGUGGAAGGCUGCCUCUUCUGCACGAGCAGGAGCGCCUCGAACUUUUGCGAGGCCAUACUCCCCACUUUCCACAACGCCGAUCGGGUUUCGAGAGGCAGCGCGCGCACGCAAGUGCCCCUCGGACAAUCAAUUCGCGUAAAAGCCCGGGCUAUACGUUUUCAUCCAAACAGAAGUUCGGCUGCUUGUGUACAGCCGGUGCUACUUGUGCGACUUUGCGGAUCUCUCUCGAGCUUCCUUUUUUUUUUCUGUGGAGUCACCCGUAGACAUACAGUCGUUGUCUUUAGUUUCUCCUUUUUUGCCCUUCGUCCCUCCUUCCUGUUGUGUUGUUGUUGCGUUGGCUGACAAGCGCGAGGUAUCUGUACCCUGUCUCUCUUUCUCUCUCUGCUCUUUUUCUUUUUUUUUGUCUAUCAGUUCGCUUCUCUGAGUGUCGGAGACCGUGACGUCGAGUGUGCAGCACGUACGCGGACUCUAUGUGUGCGCCUCUCUGCCAAGUGCUUGUCUUCUUGUGUUACCGAUCUGCCGCGUCAUAACCAGAUUGCCCGUUUCGCUUCCCUCAAACGGCAGAGCAAAGAGAGUGCAGUGCUUUAUAUCCUCUUGCUCGUGCUGUUUCUGAUCACCUGACGUGCUGUGCUUAGUGUGCCCCUCUCCCCCCUGCUGAGGGCCCCCUUCCCUCUUCCUCCUGACAUCUUUCUCGCUGUCGCUGCCGUUAUAGGCUUUGCCUCUUUCGCCUUGUGCUUCGCGUAUCAUCGUCUUCGCAGGUACAGCCGAGCAGCACGCACCUGACAGGGGCACCAAAACGACGCUCUUUCUCCCGCCUUUGAACGACUUGGAGCGGCGCAGGCGUUAUUUUUCGUUUGCUCAGUGCCGCUGAUUGUCGCCUUGCCUCUCCGCCCUUCUUGGUUUUUUUUUUCAUGUGAGUUGUCGGCGGAGAACACGCGGACGACAAACUCAGAGAACCGCCAUACUCGUAUUGCAGAGCGAAGCGUAAACAGGGAUAUUUCGUGCUCCUCCUUUUCUUUUCCUUUGGUGCUUCGGGCGCCUGCAUAUAUCGGCCUGUUCGUUGUGAUGUGUGCACCAGCGACCCGUUUUGUUUUUCUUCGUUCUACAUUGCCGGUGACCUUGCCGCUCCUGCUUCUCUCAUCUUCUACUGCGAGUGGCCAGCAUCGCCCUCGCCGUCUCCUCUCGACAGGGAGCCUCCACCACUUGGGAGGCAGGAACAGCGGUAGGGGCCGCGCGUGUGCGUGGGUGUGUAUCGCUGCACGUACGCCGCGAAAUCAUACCCACGCUCACAGAGAAGACAACUUUGUUUCGCACAAGCGCUGGCUUUCUGCCCCGUGUGGCACACACGCACACAACCACACACACCUACCGAGGCCUUUCUUGUGGCUGCCGGCAUCGUUUUCUCGUCAACUUCGUUUUGAGCGAGCCUGCUCUUGUUGCGCAAAGGGGGAUUGACCUGAUUUUGGGCAGAAAGGGAAGGAAGAGGGUGAGAGCUCGGCCUGCUUCUUUUUCAUGAGAGCCGAGCGGGCUCGCUUCCUGCGCAUACGCUUUCACAAAGUCCCGUCGAGUCUCCAUCUCGAGUCUUCGGGGAGAGGGCUGUUCGAAGUGGUCGGAGGGGGAACACGGCAGAGUCGGUCUUCUUUCUCCUCCUCUUUCUGUGGGGCUCUGGAGCGUGAGGGGGAAGGCGCUUGCUCCGAUCCUCAAUCCCGUUUCUUUCCUCGAUUCCGAACGUGUUGCCGCCUCUCUUGUUUUGUCCCUGUUGUGCCUACGGCUUGCCGUGUUCCUGACUCACUUUAGUGGCUGCUGCUGCUGCUUGAUCACCACCCCCUCUCCGCCGCCGUCGACGCACUUUCACAGCCGAGCGUGCGUCUUCGCCGCCCCUUUCUCUAGCGCGCGACUCCGUCUUGUCGUCUUGUCUUGCGGUGGUGCAAACGUGUGCACUCUGCUCGUGAGGGUGUGCUAUCUGCAGACACGCGUGUAUUUCGAUCGCUCGCACGCCUUUCUGCGCCCUCGCUUCAGAACACUCCUUAGCUGGGACCGCAUAAUGAGUUCGGACAUCGAGGCCAAGAUUACGGAGGCCGGCAGCGCAGCUGUUGACACCUCUGCAGCUUCGUCGCCCGGAACAACAGGAGCUCAUGGACCAGGAAGCGGGCACACUUCAUUGUCGCUGCUUCGCACAGACGCCACACCGUCGUCUGCGACACUUUCUCCUUUAGUGGAAAACCCGAGCGACGCCACUCAAGCCGAUGCAGUCUCUCUUUCUGGACGUAAACGGCGGCUCAGCUUCAAGGAUAGGCAGCGCCAGCGCGCUGGUGCUAGCGGUAGCACUGACCUUGAGCUCAGAGCUAUAAACAGUCGCCUGGCGCACUCUCCCAUGAGCACCGCGUCUUCGUCCUCACCCCUAACGUUAGACCUUUCUCCCGCUCGCGAGCGCCCUCUCCCGCAUUCGGCCUUGAAGAGGACCACGGCAGCAGCAUCCCCACCUCUUACUGCGUGCAUAUUUACAGAGAUGGGGCCUUCUCACAGAGGUGGCCGCGCCGGUGCGCCCCGCGCACCAAGUCAGACGCCGAUCGCCCUCGCCGGCCCGGAUGCGCUCACGGCGACGGCGGCCGUGGAGGAAGGCCCUAGUGUGCCUGACUCCCUGGUGUUGCGCGCCACCUCGUCGAACUUCUCCUUCACGAGCAAGCCGACUGGCUCACCACACGAGCACUCUGGCAGCCUCGCAUCUGCGUCGCAACUACAGAGUCCGCUAAGCCUGCUCCCACAGGACACAGCCAGCGCAGCAGCGGUGCCUCCGCCGCAUUUGCCCUCGUCCCUGAUGUUGUGCACCCCUGCUAGCUCGACAUCCGGCAAUGCGGCCGCUCAGAUAAACGCCGACGACACGAAGGCGCCUCUCCCGAAACUGCGGACACCGACCGCCAUUGGUAGCGCCACGACCUCUCCAAAUGGGUUUGGCAGCCGAACAACGCUGGAGGAGCUGCCCACACUGUCGCCCGUGUCGUCCACCUCGACAAGCUCGCCCAGGAUGAGCUUCAAGGAUCGGCAGCGGGCUGCCGUCGCUUCGCGGAAGCCCAUCAUCGCUGCCGGCGCCUCCGUUCUGGCGAGAAGCCCUCCACGAGCAGUUGUUGCAAGCUCAAGUUUUACUGCCCCGUCAGAGAGCAGCUUGGCUACCCCGUCCUCCUUGCCUGCAGUCAGCACCGCGCAAUUCACACCGCAAAGCCCAGCGGCUGCAUUGCGGGAGAGAGCCGCCUUCAGUGCGAUGACGCCCGUGACGCAAGUGCCGAGCCCGCUGCCUGGUUAUCCUUCCCUCAGCACGUCGCCUCCGUCACAGAAACUCGACCCGGUUGAGCAAGUAGACCCCACAGAACUGGUUUCUGCGGAUAGAGAUCGCAAUACGAGCACUGAGGAUACAAGCGAGUUGCCAGCGACCCGGCCACCUCCUCGACUGCCGCUCGCCAAGCUCACCACCACUGAGAGCGUGAGGCCGUUCCCUCUACCACCGGCUACUGUCCAUCCUGCAUUGGCCUCUCACCUGAAGAGGUGCACGUCGUCCGGGCCCUCGGCAUCCGCCUCGACGAAGCCGCAGUUUCGUUUCUUUGCUCAGGGCUGCCAGGCAGAGAAAGAGGAGGACCAGAGCCCAGGUGCCACCUGUAGAGGACAUUCUGGGCAACCGCGUUGGCUUCGGGACCGCAGCGGCAGCGCCGGCACAGCCUCCACCAACCCCGCCGACGCGGACGUGGGCGAGAAGAGUUACGUGGAUGACGAGGAGGAGAGCCUGCUGGCCUGCACGCAGAACGAGGCGCGUCUGCAUUUUUACGACCCUAGCAUCGAGUCGACGCCAAUGGAGUUUAACAUGGCGAGUCCGUACGCGCGGUAUAACAUGAACUCUAGCGCGUCUGCCUCACGCGAAAGUGGCAUCGCUGAGACAAGGAACUCGACAGAGCGCUCUGAAACCAUGUGUGAAGGUCCGGGAUGGUCGCAGACGAUGCCGAGCAUGCUCACCGGCGAGUCGGGGCCGGAUGUAGUGAAGGCGGCUUGUCUUUCAAAGCCUCUCCGGUGCUGUACGCGAGCACGUACAGAGAGCCUCGAGGCCGCCCCUCAGUCCACUGGUAGUAGCACGGCGUCGCGACUUGUUUGUGCUGAGGGACCACAGACGUCGUCGUCGACUGACUCGCGACAGACGAACGUCAAAUUUGAGCAGCACCACUACAGUGAUAACGCAUUUGGUACAGCGCCGUUACCGGCUGUUAUUCGCAAGAUGCGCGCGCGGGCCUCCGGCAGCAUUGUAGGCCGAUGGAGGCAGUAUCAACAUCCGCACACGUCGCAGCGGGACGCACAUGUGACUCGCGGGCUUUCCUCAACCCACUCCACGCUAGCACCCGCUCUUUCUGACAACUCCGUAUCUUUGAGCAGCACGCAGCUGAGCUGCACGGCACUCCCACGCAGGCGUCAUCGCAGCAAGAUGUUGGCGCCGGACAGUGCCCUGAUCGCCACCUCGAGCGCCGGUCGCCUGGGGGGCGCAGAGAGCAGCCACGUCUUCUCGCCCUCGUCUUUGGGACACCAUCGGCGCAGUCACACGCUCGAUGACUUUGCACUGAUGGCGCUUGCGUCUGGAAACCGUGGCGGGGCGACGCCGAGCUCCGUUACACCGGAGCCGCUGUCGCCGUCCUCGCGGCCCACGGCGGCGUUGCGGUCGACCGUCAACGCGCGCUUCCCUCUGCUUCCGACUCACACAGCGGUGGCGGCUUCACAGGGUGUUUCCGCAGGCUUAGCCGGCGUACGCAGCACCCGCGAUGACCUGCCGAUUCCGCUUGGCCCGAUCCCAGCCGGCGCGCUUCUGCUGACGGAGACGUCAGGCGGGUCGUCGGCGUCGGGGUCCGCUGAGCAAAGUUUCAACGCCGGCGUUGUGUCGAUCUUUUCCUCCGGUGCCUCUCCGCUGCCGGCAGUGCACCAGCAAGCGAGCAGCCACGCCAACUCGCUCGGCAAGGUCUCGUCGGCGUUGGCCUCGGCGCUGAUCGCGCCUGCGCCGUCAGCCGAGGACCUCUCCGCGACAGCGCCAACGGUCAACGUUGACACCCCUGCCGGCUGCAGCUCCGUUGAUGAGCUGAGCACUCACACCAUGCGGCGGCGGUCGAGUGUGGUCGACCCUGGCGCCUGCUCUUCCACGGGCGGCGGCGCCGUUGCCGCCACGGCAAAUGCGGACGACGCAGAAGACUCUGAUGGAGACUAUCAGCAGCGCACCGUCUAUAGCUACUACGGCGGCGACAGCAUCAUGAGUGCAACCACGGCCGAGCUGCGAAAGCUGCGUCGCCGCAGCAAUUACUCUAGUCUGCACUACGGCACCAUGACGAGCUACUAUCACAAGCGCAACGAGCAGCGACAGGGGGGCAGGGCAGCCUCGCAGCAUGGUCGGCGCCGCAGCGGCGGUGGCCGGCGGCGUCGGCACCGUGCCGGCGCAGGGGUCGACGGCAAGGAGUCGACGGCUCUCUUUUCACAGGCAGCCGUCUUUGCGAGAGACAGUGCCAGCAGCAAGCCGGACAACGCCAACACCGACGACGACAUCGAGACGGUGUGGGAGCAGAAAGGCAGCGACGAGGCCGCCGCUUCAAAGGAGGAAGAGGGCCGUAUUGGAGAGGCAGCGGCAGGGCAGUGGCGCCACCACCGCGGAAAUCGAGCGAAGGAUGACGCGUUCGCUGCUGCUGCUGCGGCGGCGGCGGCGGCUGACGACGACGAAGAUGCUGCACAGCGCCGCACGGUGGGUAUGUGGACAUCGGUUGAACACGUCUUCCUGCCUCGGUACGAGGUCGUGCCAGAGGCGGCGUCGUCGACGCCGCUCACCGUCCUUGCAUCGCCGAAAAGCAACACGAACGCCAGCACCAGUGCUGUAACCAGCGACCCUGAAGCGAAACAGCGCCACGGCUCUUCGUUUGGGAGCAUUCCCGACAAGAAGAAAAAUGCGACGCCGAACUUGACACCGGCCAGUGACCAGCAACCGCCUCACCCACUGCCCCCUGCCGAUGCAAGCCCCGUAUCCAUACCAGCCGGCUCGCCGUCCUUGGGAGCUGCCGGCAGCCACCUCAUGACGCCGGCGCCCCUGACUCCAAAAGGCAGCCCCUCCACGUAUCCGAGCGGCAACGCUGCCGGCUCGCGCCCGAGUGGCCUUGUUGUGCUGCCGGAUGCCGACUUUAGCGUUGAUGCGAGGGCGUCUGUGUCACUUUCGUGCAGUCAGUUCCGCCGCACUCCUGCGCAGGCCUCCGGCACGAUGCGUCUCGAGCCACAGGAUUUUACGUUUGGAACGGUGGCCGCCGAGUACAACAUGGACCCGGCGGAUGAGGAGGGGCUCCCGCAGGGUUCGUGUGAUGCGAAGGUGGCGGCGCGACUCAUCUUCGACGCCGCUGCCGGCGUUAUGCUUAUGGAUCCGGAAGACGAGGUUGGCCGGUACGAGCGGCAUGGGCACAUGCCACAAGACGAUCGAGGGAGUCUCACGGCGCCGCUGGAACACACGGAGGAAGGAUCGGAAGCCAAGGGCGACCACGACGCAUGCGAUGAUGAGGCCAACGAUGGUGCGUGCCAUUGCGAUGCAGCCUUUAUUGCAAAGGACUUCAAGGGACCGGACUGCAGCCGAUACGAUGCGAAUGACCUCUACGAUCACUGCAGCCGCUGCCAUCGGCGGCCAGCCGCUUUUCUAUGCUUGCACUGUCUUGAGGCGGUAUGCCCGUCGCACGUCCGCCGCCACCACUUGCAGAACCCGAGCGUGUGCACGCUGUUUCUGAAUCUUCUAGACAUCAUGAACAGCUUUGACCGCAUCUUCUGGUGCGAGAAGUGCCAGCAAUUCACGUGGAAGCACACCGAGGUCUACGACGCGUUGGUGGACCAGAUCGCCUUCACACGCGGCACGUAUCUGAAGCACCCCGCACGCGACAUCCACUGCGUCGGCUACGAGGUGCGACUGAAGGACGUGACAGCAUCGGCAGCGGUACGUCACGCUUCAGGGUCAGCGAUCGGCGCCGAGGCCCACGCACGUGCGCAUUCCAUCGACAACGUGCCCCCCGCUGCGAUUCUCAAUCAGACACUGUCUGACUUGUGGAUCCCUGCCGCUCUACAAAACGUCACCUCCUCGCCGGCCACGGAGGCAUUCACGGCGUCGGAAAUGCUGCCCGCAUUUGCAAACACGCUGCAGCGGGCCUCCAACGCGUCUGCGCUGCCAAACGGAGGGGCACAGUUGUCGAUGGGAAUAGACGCCGGCGCCCUUGGUCUCUCCCCCAAAUCCCCGCCCAGCGGCGGCGCGCUGGUGCGGCAGCGCCCGACCACUGUUGCGAGCAACUCCCUGUCACAACUCCCCGUGCGCUCGCCGAUGCAGCAGUUCCUCAGCCGUGACCCGCUCGACUUCUCUGCCGGCAACACCGUUACCGUGGGAGAGCCGGUCACCAAGCUCUGCGCACUUGCCGCCAGCGUGCAAGGGUGGCGCACGACGCAGGAGGACGCCGAGGCGGUGUUCUUGGUCGACAUCCCGGCCAUCUCCGAGGAAGUGGUGAACCGCAAGGAGCUCCGGGAAGUGGCCGCCGCGGCAGCAGCAGCCGAGGCGGCAGCGAAGAAGCCGCUUGAGACUCUGGACCGCGGAGAUACUCACCGACUCGACUCCUCGCUCUUGGUUCACGGCAGCUACGAACUCAGCGCCUCGUCUGCCUCCGAGAGCUCACCGGAGUUCAACCCGGCAGUACGCCCUAGUGACUCCGGGGCAUACGAGAGGCCCAACACGGGUGAUGAGGAAGCAGCAGCGACCGCCGCAGGAGCUGCGAAAGAAGAGGCGGAGGCGGUGCCGAAGGAGACGAUGCCGAUGGCGGUGUUCUGCAUGUUUGACGGGCACGGUGGCGAUGCAGUGGCGAAGCUGGCGGCCCGCCACUUCGAGGCGCACCUGCGGCGUGCGAUCGAGGAAACUCGCCCCGAUGACGUGCGUGCCCGCGCGCUCUUGUUCUUUCUCAAGGCAGAGACGGACUCGGCUGCUUCUGCGGGGGCGACAGCGCCGUGGCUGCCUCAAUCCGUGUCGGCGGUCCCGGCGGGCGACGGCAUUUUAAACUACGCUGCUCCGCUCGCUGACUCCCUGAACACCCCCGCAGGCCCCGCCGCGUCGAGCCCACCACCGUCUCUCGAUGCCGCCUCCGGCCGUAUGCCGCACUCCCACCUCUCCUCCCCCUUCCAGAGGCCGUCUGGAAGUGCGACCGUGUCGGUCCCUUUCGACCGCUUCUCCGCCAAGCGGUCGGAGGCGAACGGCGACGAAACUGCUUCGCCUCCCAAGACCGCCGACGUUCCGUUUACCCUGGCCGAUGAGCUGCGCAGCGUGUCUUUCGCCGGGUCCUUCUCCGUUCUUGUCCCUGUCACAGCUGAGUCGCUGCGCCUCCACGCUGCAGGCGCCACCCUCGGGAUGGGAGAUGCAGGUAUGAAGGAGACGUCGCCUGCGUUCGAGGGCGCAACUGGGGCUGUGGGAGGCAAGAACCGGCACCCCGCCAGCACACAGGCGGACACCUCCUUGACCGCCAACAAACGCGUCAGCAACUCGCAUUCCUCGAAUCGAAACCGCAAGUCCGGGGUAACGCUGGAUGCGUGGGAAGCAGUGGAGGAGCCGCUGCCAGACAUGGUCUCUGUCGCGGCAGGCGUUGGAUCCCCUCGCACCGGGGUGCUCCUGCCGAGGUCGAUCGCUGCUGCAGAGGAACUGCGGCAUGGGAGCGGCUUGAGCCACAACCCAAACCCGCCUGCCGGAAACGUUGCCAUUUGCCCGUCCCCGGCGGCGGUGGUGUCGAUCCCGGAGAUGGAGAUGCUCCGGCAGUACUUCGCCAGUAUCAUGGAGGAUGCACUGAUGUCUCUGGACGACUACCUGCGCUCGACUCCGGAGGGGGUGCGUGGGGACUACGACUGCGUGGGCUGCACGGCAUGUGUGGUGGGCAUCACCGCCAACUUCGUUCUCUGUGCGAACGUCGGCGAUAGCGGUGCCGCCUUCUACACGAAGGACCGCAUGAAGGUGAUCAGCGUGAAGCACCGCGUGUCGGACGAGGCGGAGCAGGCCCGCAUCCACGCCGCCGGCUACAACAUUAUUAACGGUCGUAUUGAGGGCAUGUCUGCCGUGCCGCGUGCUCUGGGCGACUUCGACUUCAAGCAGUGCGGCGGUCGCGGGCCGCGCAAGCAGGCCGUCUCCGCCGUGCCGGACGUUACGAUUAUGCCGGUGCCAAGCGACACGGAUCAGUGGGGCAUCGUGCUUGCCUGCGAUGGCGUAUGGGACACGGCGACGCUGCACCAGGUUCAUGUGGCGCUCACGAACACCGUCAACGACCUUGCCGUGUCUGGCUCAGCGAUGGAUGCUGUGCUGCGUGGUGCCGAACUCUAUCAGAACCGCCUAAGAGGCCCAUCCGUUGUUGCAGGGGGCUCACCGUGGAGCUCGUCCCCGGUAUCGCCGCCGCGCGCAGGCGGUCCUUUGCACAGCAGUGAGGCACUCGGAAACAGCCGCAAGACCCCGUCGCCCACCAAGGGCGGGAGCUUUACCUCGAGGGCUGUCACAGAGGAGUCCAUGAUCAGGUAUUACGAUGACGACGACGACGAUGGUGCUGCCCCGCGACUCUCUCAGGUAGAUGCGAUUCUUCUCACGGCCGCCGCCGGCGUGUUUGCGCAGUGUGUGGCGCCGGAGGACAACGACGAGGGCGUCGGCCUCGACAACUGCAGCCUCAUCAUUGCUGAGCGGCGUAACGUGCAGGAAUGAAAAGGGCAUCGCACCCCGAGACCGUUGGUAGUGGUCGCUGCCGGUGCGAAAAUGCUUACACAGACACAUCUGCGGUUGUGGACGAUAUUACCAUCGGAAUGGCAGUGCCGCUCAUGCACGCUCCCCCCUCCCCAAGGCGCUUCGUUGAUUCUCCUUCACCGCAUUGCCCCACCUCAGCCCACACACCCUUGUGCGAGCAGCGGCCACCUUCCUGCGCCCUCAUUGGCGGUGUUGAAUGCCUGUUCGCCUUUUUCGCCUUGAUUUGCUUUUUACUUUUGUAUGCCUUCGUGUUUCUCCCGAGAUGGUCCGAUGUCCGUGUUUGGAUAUGCUGUGUAGUGUGCCGGUCUCGUGUACUCAAGGCUGCUUCUCUGACGCUUUUCUUUUCGUAUGUUUGUUUUGCGUGUGGUGAGUGCUCGCGAGCGUCUGCGUAUGCCUGGUGGCUGAGUGUUGCACCCGACCAGGUAGUAGAGAUGGGGGGGGGAACAUCUGCCCGUGUCUGUAUGGGUGUGUUUGCUGCGCGAAGUCGAUGAUGCGCGCUACCAGGCAACAAC